rnacentral:rRNA from 1 species
CCGCCUGGGGAGUACACUCGCAAGGCUGAAACUCCAAGAAAUUGACGGGGGCCCGCACAAACGGUGGAUCAAGUGGUUUAAUUCGAUGAUACGCGAAGAACCUUACCUGGGCUUGAACUGUACCUGACAGACGUGGAGAUACACCCUCCUUCGGGCAGCUAUAGAGGUACUGCAUGCUGGUCGUCAGCUCGUGUCGUGAGAAGAUGGCUUAAGUACUCCAACGAGCGCAACCAUUACUCGUUGUCGCUGACAGGAUAAACUGAGCACUCUAGAGGGACACCCGGGUAUAAACCGGAGAAAAGUGAGGAUAACAUCAAAUCUCCUCGCCCUCUAUAUCCAGAGCUACACACGUGAGACAAUGGGCGGUACAAAGAGCUGCGAGCCCGCGAGGAGGAGCUCAUCUCCCAAAACGGGCCUCAGUUCGCAGAUCAGUCUCCAACAUCGAGAGCAUGAAGAGGCAAUAUCUAGUAAUCUCAGAUCACCACACUCCGCUGUAUACGUUCCCGGGCCUUGUACACACCGCCCGUCACACCAUCCG